UACGAAGGGUGCAAACGUUGCUCGGAAUCAUUGGGCGUAAAGCGCACGUAGGCGGCCUGUUAAGUCGGAUGUGAAAUCCCUCGGCUCAACCGAGGAAGUGCAUCCGAAACUGGCAGGCUCGAGUAUGGAAGAGGGUCGCAGAAUUCCCGGUGUAGAGGUGAAAUGUGUAGAGAUCGGGAGGAACACCGGUGGCGAAGGCGGGUCUCUGGGCAUUUCCUGACGCUGAGGCGCGAAAGCGUGGGGAGCAAACGGG
rnacentral:rRNA from 1 species